AGUAACAUCCGGAAACGGGUAGCUAAUACCGCAUAGUUUUCUUGAUCGCAUGAUUGAGAAAGGAAAGACGGCCUUUGUGCUGUCGCUUAUGGAUGGACCCGCGGCGUAUUAGUUAGUUGGUGAGGUAACGGCUCACCAAGGCGAUGAUACGUAGCCGACCUGAGAGGGUGAUCGGCCACAUUGGGACUGAGACACGGCCCAAACUCCUACGGGAGGCAGCAGUAGGGAAUCUUCCGCAAUGGACGAAAGUCUGACGGAGCAACGCCGCGUGAGUGAAAGAAGGUUUUCGGAUCGUAAAACUCUGUUGUCAGAGAAGAACAAGUUGGAGAGUAACUGCUCCGAGCCUUGACGGUAUCUGACCAGAAAGCCACGGCUAACUACGUGCCAGCCGCCGC
rnacentral:rRNA from 1 species